UACAUAGGGGGCAAGCGUUAUCCGGAAUUAUUGGGUGUAAAGGGUGCGUAGACGGAGAAACAAGUUGGUUGUGAAAUCCCUCGGCUCAACUGAGGAACUGCAACCAAAACUAUUUCCCUUGAGUGUCGGAGAGGAAAGUGGAAUUCCUAGUGUAGCGGUGAAAUGCGUAGAGAUCGGGAGGAACACCAAUGGCGAAGGCGGCCUACUGGGCCGUUACUGACGCUGAGGAGCGAAAGCGUGGGGAGCGAACA
rnacentral:rRNA from 1 species